UGGGGAAUAUUGGACAAUGGGCGCAAGCCUGAUCCAGCCAUGCCGCGUGAGUGAUGAAGGCCUUAGGGUUGUAAAGCUCUUUCGCCGGUGAAGAUAAUGACGGUAACCGGAGAAGAAGCCCCGGCUAACUUCGUGCCAGCAGCCGCGGUAAUACGAAGGGGGCUAGCGUUGCUCGGAAUCACUGGGCGUAAAGCGCACGUAGGCGGAUCGUUAAGUCAGGGGUGAAAUCCUGGAGCUCAACUCCAGAACUGCCCUUGAUACUGGCGAUCUCGAGUUCGAGAGAGGUUGGUGGAACUCCGAGUGUAGAGGUGAAAUUCGUAGAUAUUCGGAAGAACACCAGUGGCGAAGGCGGCCAACUGGCUCGAUACUGACGCUGAGGUGCGAAAGCGUGGGGAGCAAAACAGGAUUAGAUACCCUGGUAGUCCACGCCGUAAACGAUGGAUGCUAGCCGUUAGGGGGUUUACCUCUCAGUGGCGCAGCUAACGCCUUAAGCAUCCCGCCUGGGGAGUACGGUCGCAAGAUUAAAACUUAAAUGAAUUG
rnacentral:rRNA from 1 species